rnacentral:lncRNA from 1 species
CCGAAAUAGAGUAAAAAUAACUUCUUAUUUACAAUUCUAGGAUUUGAUACAUCACCCCUGUGAAGAACAGACAUCAUCACUGUAACAAACAAACACAGCUGAUCUUAUCAAACAGCUUUUGGAAAUGUACACCGAUGUUUAAGAAAAGCGUAGUUAAACCUUCUAAACUAAAGAUUGUGACUUUUUUCAAUAAAGAAACAACAAUCCCUCUAUAAGUUGUCAGAACUCAGAACAAUUGGACCAAGGAACUUCUAACAAAUAACAAAACCAUCUACAAUAGCAAUCACGACCUUCAAUCCUAACUCUGCAAUGUUGAGCAAGAUUUUAUCUAUGCAGUUUGCACCUCAUCCUAUGCGUACAAAAGAUCUCUCUUUAUGUCACCAACUUUAAUGUCUGCAGAUCCAGCUGUUGACAUUGCACUCCCCAGAUGCUUCCGCAACUCUGCUCCACAAGGAGGAGACGGGGUGGAGGUGGGGAGCUGCUGCUUCUUCGAUCCAGCGCUCCAUGGGAGAGGACAAAGGAGGACGGGGCUCCGCCUGCCACGCCCAUCCUCGCCUCCCUCUAUAUUCAUAGGUGCUUGACCCCGCCGCCCUCUCCCUCCACGAGAACGCCGUGAUCCGGGGCUUUGCAAGAUAGCUUGUCAGCCAAUAUGGAUGUACAUUGACACGACAAAAAAACAGAAAUUAUGUUCAUACCUUGUGAGUUAUAUAUAUUCUAAGUAGACUAUAGAUUACAAAGAAUCGAAGCUUCUGUGCAUACUCAUUAUUCAGUAAACUUGUCCUGUAACAGGUUAAUAUUGUGUCAUUAUAGAACUUGGUACAGUUUAGUAACAGAAAUGAUCAACCAGAUGAUCUGCAAGAGCAGACUACCUUAUCAGAUUUUAGUGCCUACAUGACUCUCUUUCUUUGCAGCUGGUAACUUAAUUAUAACGGUAAUGCAGCACACGAAAUGAAACUCAAUCAAGGUAAUACAUAUGCUCCCCUCUGCGCCUUUAACUACUAGAACAAAAGAAGAAAUAGUAGUUAGCUUGAUGUAAAAUCCUGACUAAAAAGAAGAAAUAACAGUCAACUCAAUGUAAAAAACAAUUAUGCUGCAGAAAUACAAAUAGAAGUUAUGGAAGGCUAACCAGUUAUUCCUUCCCACUAAGAAAAUCUGUAGCACUAUCAACCAUAAGCAUUGCAUUAUUACAUACAGCUAAACUUAACAACAGAAAGAUCUAUGCUUUUAGUUUUACUUGAUUUUUGUUAGCAAGUAAAACUGUUGGAAGUGUAGCCGUACCAUGCCAGCUCUACAUGGACCAAAUAAACCACAGUAAGCUGAUGUUAGCUAUCAUUGGGCCUGUUUGGGACAACUCCGCUUCAUCAAAAUCAGUUUCACUCCACCAAAUCCACUAUGGAGCAGUUUCAUACAUAAGUUGUAGCACUACCAAACAGAAUAUUUGGUUUCCGUCUAACUCCAACUUCAAGAAUGGGAAAUCUGGUGGAAAGGAUCUAUUUGAUUGGAUGAGGGAGGAGAAACGAAGGGGUAUCCACUUACUGGUGGCAGUGGUGGGUAAUUGUCCCCCAACUCCAGCUUCUAGAGUUUUUUGGAGCACCCCCUAAAGAGCUUCGUAGAAAACUAAGAGUUGUACCUCAGAUUCUAGUUUUUUUGAGGAAUGGCAUAUCGUGGAGCUACUCCGUUUGGCUUGCGUUUUCUGGAGUAGAGCUAAAUUUUAAGGAGCAGAGUAGUCCCAAACAGGCUCAUUAUAAACAUAUCCAUGGGUGUACAUAUAUUCAAAAAUUCAGAUAACAAAUAGUUGUAUCAUAUCAGUGUUUCCCUACAAAAAAGAAACCGUAUCAUUGAACAUAUUGGAUCCGAUCUUCACCAAGUGGUAGCUCAGACUGCCUUGUACAAAGUUUGCAACCAGUAAUCGGAAGUCCUAUACAAGUAAAAUGUACAAGAAAUUGCAUACCAGCACCCGAGUCCAGUAGCAUUGGACUCUGCCUUGUAUGCUGAGCUUAUUGUUUGCAAGUGACUGAAAGUAUUACCAUCACCAUUGGAGUGUAUCCAGAUUCAGGCAUGUGUAUCUAUUACACCUCAAAUAUAAAAUUAGCUUCCAUGCAAAAGAAAAACUUAGCUUAAACAAAUUGUACUCUAAAAUACCUAGUAUUGUACUAUUUUGAAGAUCUCUGGAGCAGGUUUUUCAUUCCUUGGUCGUGUGUCUAAGUGUACAAAUUAAUUAGGUCAUACCACUCAAUUAUAAUCAAACAAAUUAGUGUAAUCUAUGGGGUGGGAGUGAAGUACCACUCAC